GCUGGGUGAGGUGGUGUGCACCUGUAAUCCCAGUAGCUGGGCAGGCUGAGGCAGGAGGAUCUUGAGUUCAAAGCCAGCCUCAGCAAAAGUGAGGGGCUAAGCAACUCAAUGAGACCCUGUCUCUA
rnacentral:sRNA from 1 species